rnacentral:rRNA from 1 species
ACUCCUACGGGAGGCAGCAGUGGGGAAUAUUGCACAAUGGGGGAAACCCUGAUGCAGCCAUGCCGCGUGUGUGAAGAAGGCCUUCGGGUUGUAAAGCACUUUCAGUUGUGAGGAAAGGUUGGUAGUUAAUACCUGCCAGCUGUGACGUUAACAACAGAAGAAGCACCGGCUAACUACGUGCCAGCAGCCGCGGUAAUACGUAGGGUGCAAGCGUUGUCCGGAAUUAUUGGGCGUAAAGAGCUCGUAGGCGGUUUGUCACGUCUGCUGUGAAAAUCCAAGGCUCAACCUUGGACUUGCAGUGGGUACGGGCAGGCUAGAGUGCGGUAGGGGAGAUGGGAAUUCCUGGUGUAGCGGUGGAAUGCGCAGAUAUCAGGAGGAACACCAAUGGCGAAGGCACAUCUCUGGGCCGUAACUGACGCUGAGGAGCGAAAGCGUGGGGAGCGAACAGGAUUAGAUACCCUGGUAGGUCAGU